CCUGGCUCUUGAGGCACUGCGGGUGUGGCUGCUAAGUCACAUGUUUAUCAUGAGGUAGCAGAGUGGAGAGACAGUAUGACUAUGCUCAGUGUUCUGUUCUAGGAACAUCUGAAUGAUCAAUAACCUAACACU
rnacentral:snoRNA from 1 species